rnacentral:rRNA from 1 species
UCCUACGGGAGGCAGCAGUGAGGAAUAUUGGUCAAUGGAGGCAACUCUGAACCAGCCAUGCCGCGUGAAGGAUGACGGCCCUAUGGGUUGUAAACUUCUUUUGAAUAGGAAGAAACUUAUCUACGUGUAGAUAACUGACGGUACUAUUAGAAUAAGGAUCGGCUAACUCCGUGCCAGCAGCCGCGGUAAUACGGAGGAUCCAAGCGUUAUCCGGAUUCAUUGGGUUUAAAGGGUCCGUAGGCGGAUCUUUAAGUCAGUGGUGAAGGCCGACAGCUUAACUGUCGAACUGCCAUUGAUACUGGAGAUCUUGAGUACAAAUGAAGUAGGCGGAAUGAGUCAUGUAGCGGUGAAAUGCAUAGAUAUGACUCAGAACACCGAUUGCGAAGGCAGCUUACUAACAUGUAACUGACGCUGAGGGACGAAAGCGUGGGGAGCGAACAGGAUUAGAUACCCUGGUAGUCCACGCCGUAAACGAUCAUCACUCGCUGUUGGCGAUAUACUGUCAGCGGCCAAGCGAAAGUA